rnacentral:rRNA from 1 species
UACGUAGGGUGCAAGCGUUGUCCGGAAUUAUUGGGCGUAAAGAGCUCGUAGGCGGUCUGUCGCGUCUGCUGUGAAAACUCGGGGCUUAACCCCGGGCCUGCAGUGGGUACGGGCAGACUAGAGUGCGGUAGGGGAGACUGGAAUUCCUGGUGUAGCGGUGAAAUGCGCAGAUAUCAGGAGGAACACCGGUGGCGAAGGCGGGUCUCUGGGCCUUACCUGACGCUGAGGCGCGAAAGCUAGGGGAGCGAACAGG